GCUCAACCNNACGUAUUGANUGUUCUGCNUGCCCAGUGACUAUAGGUUCAACGGCCGCGGUAUUUUGACCGUGCAAAGGUAGCGCAAUCACUUGUCUCUUAAAUAGAGACCUGUAUGAAUGGCACGACGAGGGCUUAACUGUCUCUNCUCCCCAGUCAGUGAAAUUGAUCUGUCCGUGCAGAAGCGGACAUUGUACUGCAAGACGAGAAGACCCUAUGGAGCUUUAGACACAAGACCAACCAUGUUAAACCACUUAAAACAAAACAAGUGGAAACAGAGNGGUAAACCUUGGUCCGCCUGUCUUCGGUUGGGGCGACCGCGGGGCAAANACAAACCCCCAUGUGGAAUGGACAAACCAUUUAGAGCUAAGAGACACAUNUUUAAGCCACAGAACAUCUGACCAAAAAUGAUCCGGACACCAGACCGAUCAACGAACCAAGUUACCCUAGGGAUAACAGCGCAAUCCUCUUUCAGAGUCCAUAUCGACAAGAGGGNUUACNACCUCGAUGUUGGAUCAGGACAUCCUAAUGGUGCAUNCGNUAUUAAGGGUNNGGUUGUUCAACGNUUAAAGUCCUACGUGAUCUGAGUUNAANCGGANGUACANAGNGAUAUUAUUGCACNCCNGGGCGANNGAUGGUGAUCCCCUGGNCAGNGCACGUNUGNUGUUNANAAAAAGNNUNCCGNGAACU
rnacentral:rRNA from 1 species